rnacentral:pre_miRNA from 1 species
GCUAUAGUUGCCACCACAUUGUGAAAGACAUGGGUAGUGAGAUUUGUAUCAUGAAUUUAUCCCAUUUCCCUGUCUUUCAACAAGGUGUUGGCAGUUUAGCA